UUCAGUAACUCCCCAGGUGACCAGCGGGUUCAUUUUAUGGUUAAAUGCACGUUUCUGCAGUUAAUUACAGCCAGUCGUGGCUCAGAGCAGCGAUUUUCAAUGCUUUCUACCCUGAGGGAAAGCGACCGACUUGGGGAAAUCCAUCCAGAACGGGGUGUGUGCGAUGGCGGCCCUGUUACGCAAUGAGCGUCCUGGACCGAUGCCCACGUAGCAGACAAGACCGGGUAGAAGGGUUGACGUGCCAAGGCUGUGUCUCCAUGGCAACGCGACUGGAGACCAGCGGACGAGGUGGACUGGCGUUGGUAAAUCCAUGUAAACGCCAUGAACAGAUUUAAAAGGGAAAAUUAAUACUGGUGAUCAAAGUCAGCAGACUUCACUGCUUUUGAAAAUGGAAACUAGUAUUACUUACAGUGAAUAAAAGGCAAC